GAUGAACGCUGGCGGCGUGCUUAAUACAUGCAAGCCGAGCGAAGCGGGGACGGGUGAGUAACACGUGGCUAACCUCCUAUAAGACUGGGAUAACUUCGGGAAACCGGAGCUAAACCGGAUACUUAUAGAUGGAUCUGCGCUGCAUUAGCUAGUUGGUAAGGUAACGGCUUACCAAGGCAACGAUGCCUAGCCGACCGGAGAGGGGUAGCGGCCACAGUGGAACUGAUACACGGUCCAGAGUCCUCCGGGAUGCGGCUGGAGGGAAUAGUGCGAAAUGGGCGAAAGCCUGACGGAGCAACGCCGCGGGAGUGUUGAGGUUCUUCGGAUCGUAAAACGCUGUUAUGAGGGAAGCGGUACCUAUUCAGAAAGCCACGGCUAACUACGUGCCAGCAGCCGCGGUAAUAC
rnacentral:rRNA from 1 species